rnacentral:tRNA from 1 species
AGGGUUUUAAGUUAAAAAAAACUAGAAACCUUCAAAGUUCCCAAUAGGAGUUAAACCUCUUAAACCCUA